rnacentral:rRNA from 1 species
GACGUAGGGCGCGAGCGUUGUCCGGAUUUAUUGGGCGUAAAGAGCUCGUAGGCGGCUUGUCGCGUCGUCCGUGAAAACUUGGGGCUCAACCCCAAGCUUGCGGUCGAUACGGGCAGGCUAGAGUUCGGUAGGGGAGACUGGAAUUCCUGGUGUAGCGGUGAAAUGCGCAGAUAUCAGGAGGAACACCCGUGGCGAAGGCGGCUCUCUGGGACGGUACUGACGCUGAGACGCGAAAGCGUGGGGAGCGAACAGG